rnacentral:lncRNA from 1 species
GAUUUGCCGCCGCGCUUGGGAAGCCGCCACCGCCGCCGCUGCUGCAUGGCACUAGGCUCCCGGCGGGGCAGGUUCCGCAGCCGGCACCGCUCUGGCUAGGCGCACGGAGGCGCCUUGCUUAGUCUGACCCUUAUUUGGCCAGGCGUAAAACUUGUCCUGCCUAAAAGCCUACUGAGACCUCCUAACUGGUCUAAUCCGCGGGAGACGCCAAAGGCGGCGGCCGUUUGUGCGCACAGGAUUUUUCUUGGAGCUGUAGCAGUCUAGGAAGCCAGGGUGGAACUUUUGCUAAGCUCCCGUUGUAAGCCCAGAGCUGUAAUAACUGCUGAGACACAACCAGCAGUAUACAGGCUCCAGUUGGAAAUCGAGAACUUUCCAGGGCUGUCACCCAGGCUGGAGUGCAGUGGUGCCAUCACAGCUCACUGCAGCCUCGACCUCCUAGGCUAAAGUGAUCCUCCCAACUCAGCCUCCCGUAGCUGGGACUACAGGAAUGUGCCACGCCCAGGCACCAUCCCCUGCAGCUGUCUCCCCAGCGGCUCCCUCUCUUGCUGGACAGGCCUACCAUGAAAUCAGCCCUGGGAUCUGACAAUACUACCUCCUCCUGCCACCUACUUAAAAGUGUAAUAGUUUCCUGUGGUUGCUUCUCUGGGGAAGAAUUUCCCCUGGAUUCUUCUCAGUUUUUCCAUCACCUGUGCAACAGAUUCCUUGUAUCACAUUCUUUGUUUGAAGAAAUAAGUGUGGUUUCUGUUUUUCUAGUUGAAUUCAGCAGAUUUAUCCAUUUUGUGUUUUCGUAAGGGUCUUACCCUGCUUAGGGGAGAAGGAAUGAUUUUCACAGGAAAGCAGUCACAUUCAGUUUAGGAAUCUGCCUGUGCUUCCCCCGAUGGCUUUAGUAAUGUCAUUAUUUUUUCCACCUCUUACUCCCCAUGCUUGCUCCUCACCUCCCAUACCCAACCUGUGUCUCUCCUGCUUCCUCCAUUCUUAGAGCAUAUGACACCUAUCUUCUGGGGUCACAUCCCCAGAGGUACACAAUGAUUUGUUUUUGUUUAUUUUUAAAUUUCUUUUCAUAUAGUGUCCUUAACAAGAAUGUCACUGCUGUAGGAUAGGAUAGCAAAAGAGCACUGGGUUUUUCAUUCAGAAUGUGAAUCAGUGUGGCUUGUUUGAAUCCUAUAGCCUUGUCCUGCACAACAGUGCCCUUGAUAGCAGAACAGGAAAAAAGAUAAUUUCACCACAAAUCUAUGAGGAGAAAAUGAGAUGAAACAUAUGAAAGGAUUGUGCAAAAGAUAAAAGGCUAAAAGAAAAUAAAAAGAAAAGGCCAGGUAUGGUGUUUCAUGCCUAUAAUCCCAGCAUUGUGGGAGCCCAAGGCAGGAGGAUCACUUGAGCCCAGGAGUUCAAUAUCAGCCUGGGCAGCAUAGAGAGGUCCUGUCUGUAUUUAAAAAAAAUUUUUUUUAACGAUAAAAUGCUAAGCAAAUAAGAAGUUAUUAUUUUGAAAUAGUAAAUAAGCCUAAAUUAGUUGUUUUCCUUGAAACAAUUGUAAUUUUAAAAGUUACCACAAAGGUAUUUCUCAACUAGAAUUUAUACAGAAGCUUAACAACAUCACAGUCUUGAUUUAACACAUGAUUUCUCAAUCUCAGUUCUAUUGACCUUUGAGGUUGGAUAAUUCUUUGUUGUAGGGAGCUGUCUUGUGCAUUGUAAGAUUUUUGGUGGCAUCUCUACCAGUAGCACCCACCUGUCUAGUUAUAACAAAACAUUUCUCAACAUUGCCAAAUGUCCCCUAGGAAAAAAAAAAAAA